AUUGAACGCUGGCGGAAUGCUUUACACAUGCAAGUCGAACGGCAGCACGGACUUCGGUCUGGUGGCGAGUGGCGAACGGGUGAGUAAUGUAUCGGAACGUGCCCAGUCGAGGGGGAUAACGUAGUGAAAAUUACGCUAAUACCGCAUACGAUCUAUGGAUGAAAGCGGGGGAUCGCAAGACCUCGCGCGAUUGGAGCGGCCGAUAUCAGAUUAGGUAGUUGGUGGGGUAAAGGCCCACCAAGCCAACGAUCUGUAGCUGGUCUGAGAGGACGGCCAGCCACACUGGAACUGCGACACGGUCCAGACUCCUACGGGAGGCAGCAGUGGGGAAUUAUGGACAAUGGGCGAAAGCCGGAUCCAGCCACUCCGCGUGCAGGAUGAAGGCCCUCGGGUUGUAAACUGCUUUUGUACAGAACGAAAAGGUUUCUACUAAUACUAGGAGCUCAUGACGGUACUGUAAGAAUAAGCACCGGCUAACUACGUGCCAGCCGCCGCAGUAA
rnacentral:rRNA from 1 species